CGUAUCUAGUCCAUGUAUAUCUAUGGUCGGCAGGUCUGGUAGCAUCUCUGGCUGCUGUUGACCUUGUUUUUGGAGUAAAACACGGUGGAAGCUGAAUUAGUGAGGAUGACUCCUGCUCCUGUCAUCUCUAAGCUCCUCACACAUCUUUACCUGCACAUGAAGAAAAUCACUCCUGUAGAAUGCAGAUGUUCAGAGGGAGAUGAUGCCACAUCUGGUCCAGCUGAUGGAAGGUCUUGAAGUUCUCUGACUGGCCUCGACUGAAGAUGGUCGUCUCACUGGAUUUAAGAUGCACAAUGAGGGACGUCUGCAGAGACUGAGAAAGAGUCUCACCACAUCCUGACAUGAGGAAAAAGACUUUAUUGAAGACUACAAUGAGAAAAACUAUCAGACAGCAGACGGCUGCAUUCAAGGUGAGCUCUGAACAUUUGAUCUGGAACAGGAAUUCAAUAACGGCAGCAUGAGCUUCAUUUCAGUCUGUAGCUGCUGAAUUCAUGGAUGA
ensembl:lncRNA